rnacentral:lncRNA from 1 species
UCGGAGUAUUUCCAGCAAGUUCAGUGAUUCUCUCCUACUGAGAUGUGCCGCUAUUCAGUUGGGGAGUGUUAUCACCAAGUGGAUUUGAUAUCCCUCCUACAGCUCUUUGAGUAUUCUUCAUUCGUCGUAGAGGCAUAUUGACCUAUGAUAAAUUAGGAUGGUAACUUAUCCUUAAUAAAGUUAUAAACUUACUUAAGGUAG